rnacentral:rRNA from 1 species
GUCGAACGGUAAGGUCCUAACUUGUUAGGAUACACGAGUGGCGCACGGGUGAGUAACGCGUAUGCAACCUACCUUUAACUGGGGAAUAGCCCUCCGAAAGGAUGAUUAAUACCCCAUAAUGCUUCAGUGAGGCAUCUCACAGAUUCUAAAACUCCGGUGGUUAAAGAUGGGCAUGCGUGACAUUAGUUUGUUGGUGAGGUAACGGCUCACCAAGACUACGAUGUCUAGGGGGUCUGAGAGGAUGAUCCCCCACACUGGUACUGAGACACGGACCAGACUCCUACGGGAGGCAGCAGUAAGGAAUAUUGGGCAAUGGAGGAAACUCUGACCCAGCCAUGCCGCGUGCAGGACGACAGCUCUAGUAGUUGUAAACUGCUUUUAUACGAGAAGAAACACUCCUACGUGUAGGAAUUUGACGGUAUCGUAUGAAUAAGCAUCGGCUAACUCCGUGCCAGCAGCCGCGGUAAUACGGAGGAUGCAAGCGUUAUCCGGAUUUAUUGGGUUUAAAGGGUGUGUAGGCGGGAAUGUAAGUCAGUGGUGAAAGCCCGCAGCUCAACUGCGGAAUUGCCAUUGAUACUGCAUUUCUUGAGUAUAAUUGAGGUGGGCGGAAUGUGUCAUGUAGCGGUGAAAUGCAUAGAUAUGACACA